CCUACGGGAGGCAGCAGUGGGGAAUAUUGCACAAUGGGGGAAACCCUGAUCCAGCAACGCCGCGUGAGUGAAGAAGUAUUUCGGUAUGUAAAGCUCUAUCAGCAGGGAAGAGAAUGACGGUACCUGACUAAGAAGCCACGGCUAACUACGUGCCAGCAGCCGCGGUAAUACGUAGGGGGCAAGCGUUAUCCGGAUUUACUGGGUGUAAAGGGAGCGUAGACGGCUGUACAAGUCUGAAGUGAAAGCUUGGGGCUCAACCGCGGAACUGCCUUGGAAACUGUAAAGCUGGAGUACAGGAGAGGCAGGCGGAAUUCCUAGUGUAGCGGUGAAAUGCGUAGAUAUUAGGAGGAACACCAGUGGCGAAGGCGGCCUACUGGACUGCAACUGACGUUGAGGCUCGAAAGCGUGGGGAGCAAACAGGAUUAGAUACCCUUGUAGUC
rnacentral:rRNA from 1 species